AGUCUUGAACGGUAAGAUUAGAGAAAUUAUAAAUAGGAGGUUUUUAGAAUUUAAAACCUUCCAUUUACAAAAAAUAAAUGUUGUGCACCGUUUCUUUCAAAACUUUUCUUACAUCAACUCUUUUUAAUUUAUAAUCUGCAUCAAAUGUGCCCAUUUGCUUAUUUGGUACUCAAAUUAUCUUAUGGCCAUUGAUCAUAGUUAAAUACGCUCCAUCUUCUUUCUCAUUUGUUGGGUCUCUGCUAGAGACAGAUUUCAAAGUUCAUUGGUCAUAAUUACGUUUCUUAUUGCUUAUUACAGUAUCUAUAUAUUUUCACCUAACUUUCUUGUACUUUAUUUCACUGCUGCUCACUUUUCAUCUUCUCUUUCGUUGUUCUGUAUCUCCCAGUUGGUAAGCUGCUGUUUUCUGAUUCUUACUUUUAUCUGUAAGAAUCUUUUUGUUUUGCUUUAUACUUGUUUUAUAUUUAGUUUCAUGGUUUGUAUACUACUGAAAUUUAUACUUUUGUUGCAUUAGUGACUUAUUUCUUCUUCCUUCCUUUUGACUGCUAUUACCUGAUCAGAGAUGCAUAUAUAGCCUAUGAUUAUCCGCCCUUAUUUAUUUCUUCUGUUUAUGAUCAUGCAUUUAUAUCUCUUUUCUCAGUUUUACUUCAUGUUGCAAUAUUGCAUCGCAAUUUUUGCCUUAAUUCCUUCGUCUAUCUAUUUGUUUACAGUACUCCCUUGCUUUGUAUUCGAUAUAACCGUUGCUUUCCCGCGCCUUUCUUCCUAACUGCAUUUUCUUGUUUGACUGCCAAAUAGAGUUCGACCAUCAUAUCUGACAACCUUUGCUAGUCUUUCAUGUGUCCUGCUUUACAUAAGGAAACAAAAAUAUUGAGUAUGCAUAUUCCCCCCCUCUUCCUUUAACUUUUAUGAAUGCUCGCAUUUUCAUGAACACCUUGCUUUGUUUCCCAUUUUUGUUUUUAAAUUUCAAACAUGUUUCCAGCAGCAUUUAAGCCUUUUCACUAUGUUACCAUUUUAGUUUUGCAGCUAAAUUCCAUUGUAAAUUUUUUCCUUUUUUUUUUCUUUUGGGAUUGUAUAGGUGGCUAUUCAUUUCAGUUCUUAAAAUCCUCUUGAUCACCAUAAAAUACUUACUUAUUUACCUUCAGGAUUGGAGUUGCCCUGUUACCUAAUGAAUAUGUCUACCAUCUGUUUAUCGUAGAUCACUGAUGCAUGUGAUUGCUUUGUCCUUUCUAUUCUUUUUUGGCUUGCAUGUAUUUGCAUGUAUGCCUUCUUUAUAUGUAAAAACAUAUCACCUUAUCGUAGUUUAUUUUCUAGCAAUCGUGGGCAUUGUUGUUAUUCUUGUUUUUUUUUCCCUACCUAUUUCUCUCUUCUGGAUUUAUUAUGAAUGCUUGUACAUUUUUAUUGAAGUUCCUGUGCCCUCUACUGCUACCUUCAAUGCUUUAUACCUUGUAUGUAUCACGUAAAAGAAACUCCAUAUCAUUUUAUGUCACAAUUAUUACUUGAUAUAAGGUUCCUUUAUUGCUACUAAUGCAAGAUUCCUUUCAUUGCUUUGUGGCUUUAUAAUGAUUGUCAUUUGUAUUAGGGUUAAAAACAAAAAAACUCCACGUGGUAUACCUAAUACACAGAAAAACCCCUCAUGGUUUCAAAAUAUACAAAACGACACUUCAUAUUUUGAACUAUAUUGUAAACUAAAAGAAUUCGUUAAACUCACCGGAUUCCAUUAAGUUUAUCGAAUUCCGUUAAAUUUUCCGUUAAAUUUAUCGGAUUCUAUUAACUUUAACGAAUUGUGUUAGUUUACAAUUUAGUUCAAAACAUGAGGCGUCGUUUUGCAUGUUUUGAAACCACGGAAGAUUUUUUUUGUGUAUUAUGUAUACCACAGGGGGCUUAUUUGCUUUUAACCCUUCGUAUUAUCGUAACCACCAUUUCUGUUCACCUAAUUAUUGCUUGAGUAACAUAUGCAACUAUCAAUAGCAUUGAUUAUAAAAUGCAUUAUCCCAUAUGAGCUAGCCUUAUUUGAUACGUCUCGAAAGCGCAAGUUUUGCUCCCACGAUAAAAGCUGUAUAGAAAGAAAUCGUGGACGACGACGAGAAAGAUAUGCUGCAGACGUAGCCAGACACAAAAAAAGAGUCUGUUUCGAUCGAUGAAGCUCAAAAUACUACUAGUAUUAUUGAUUAAUAAAAAAAGAGUCUGCUUGCUCCUGUUUCCAUUUGCCCUGUCAUGCCAAUUUCUAAUACAACAGAUGUAGUGCUGCUAUCCUUCAC
rnacentral:lncRNA from 1 species